CUGUGAAACUGGGGGCUCAACCCCCAGCCUGCAGUGGGUACGGGCAGACUAGAGUGCGGUAGGGGAGAUUGGAAUUCCUGGUGUAGCGGUGGAAUGCGCAGAUAUCAGGAGGAACACCGAUGGCGAAGGCAGAUCUCAGGGCCGAACUGACGCUGAGGAGCGAAAGGGUGGGGAGCAAACAGGCUUAGAUACCCUGGUAGUCCACCCCGUAAACGUUGGGAACUAGUUGUGGGGCCGUGACGCAGCUAACGCAUUAAGUUCCCCGCCUGGGGAGUACGGCCGCAAGGCUAAAACUCAAAGGAAUUGACGGGGACCCGCACAAGCGGCGGAGCAUGCGGAUUAAUUCGAUGCAACGCGAAGAACCUUACCAAGGCUUGACAUACAGGUGGUGCAUGGUUGUCGUCAGCUCGUGUCGUGAGAUGUUGGGUUAAGUCCCGCAACGAGCGCAACCCUCGUUCUAUGUUGCAACUCAUGGGAUACUGCCGGGGUCAACUCGGAGGAAGGUGGGGAUGACGUCAAAUCAUCAUGCCCUUAUGUCUUGGGCUUCACGCAUGCUACAAUGGCCGGUACAAAGGGCUGCAAUACCGUAAGGUGGAGCGAAUCCCAAAAAGCCGGUCCCAGUUCGGAUUGAGGUCUGCAACUCGACCUCAUGAAGUCGGAGUCGCUAGUAAUCGCAGAUCAGCACGCUGCGGUGAAUACGUUCCCGGGUCUUGCACACACCGCCCGUC
rnacentral:rRNA from 1 species